rnacentral:tRNA from 1 species
GGCGCCAUCGUCUAACUUGGUUUAGGACAUCGCCCUCUCAAGGCGAAGAUUACGGGUUCAAAUCCCGUUGGCGCCA